GAGUUUUUGCAUUUGAUUUCCUCAUUGAGUUUCAAUUUGUUUUGGCUAAAUCAGGAACAGUAGAUGGAGUCGUACAAGGUAGACCAUCAGUUCUAAGCCCUAGAGCUAUAUCAUUUCACAUCAUAUGCACUGAUGAAGAUCAAGGGGAAGCAUUAAUAGUCAUCAAGGAGAACUCAUAUAUGUCGUCACAUGCCCCUAAAUGCAUCAAAGAAAUUUUAGAAAUGGUAAUACGACCUACAAUAAGGAAAAUGCAAAACAAAUUCUUGUGCCCAGUAGCCAAUAACCCUAAUUAUAGAAUUACUACUUGCGUUUUGCAUUCUACAGACUAUUGGGGAAUAUCAAUUUUGGACACAGGACAAGCGAUGCAAUUCACCACAUCAAAUGGUGAACAUCAGGGAUACAUUAUGCUCUUUAAAUUUUAUUUGGUCGACUUGCUUCACAAGUUUGGUUGAUUAGAAGCACACCGAACCUGGGAAGCAAGCGGCUAGUGAGGUCCAUCAAGCAGUAGGCAAGUUCCUCCUGUGGUUGAUCAAGAGAAUAAGCUCAAGUGCAUGACCUGCUUGGAAUCCUUGGAGGAGGAGACAACAUCCUUAAUUGCUGCAUGGACGAUGCCCUUCUUGACUCAUGCCACUGUUCAGAGCCACUGUACACCAUGUCUUCUUGUCUAGACGAGCUUAACUCAAGGGGUAGCGCAGUUGGUGAGCAACGAACUUGGUACGAGUUGUAAACUCAGAUGUCCUAAGUUUGACUCUCACUAAGCACAUCUUGGGCCACUCACAUGGGGUUGUUUAGUGUUCUUCACUGCUUUUAGUGAAAAUUGAAUGAUUCUCAUUCAACCCUGGUAUGAUCCGGUCCAUGGGGUUACGGAGUCAAUAUGAGCCUCCGGGACUAGUCAGGCCGAAGGCCUGAAUACCCGUCGUUAACCAAAAAAAAAAAAAAAAAAAAAAAAAAGGAAAAAGAAAAAACCUUGACGAGCUUGAUCAUUGAAUAUGAGAUUGGUAGAUACCCGAAUAGAUCUCAAUCAUGUAUUUUGUAAUGUAAGAGAGAGGGAGAGAGAGUUUUCUUACCUUUGAUUAUUAUUUUUGUAAAGGAUACAUUGAUAGAAAAUUUAAAGUUUCCAGAUUAUAAAAUUUCUCGUACCAAUGA